UGUCCCACCCCAUUCUCCUCCUCCAGGUGGGCUACCAGAUUCACAGGAAGUCAUAUAUUGCUGAAGAGCUCUGGAUCCACUUCUUCCAUUGCCAAGUCCAGCAGGUAAUCAAAGCAGAGCUUCUAGUCCUGCUCCGACUCCUGUCUUAACCAGAAGACACCAAGAAACAGAGGGCCUGCCAAUCCCUUUGCUGAUUUUCCUUAUCCCAGUACUCUGGCUGUCCUCCUGGCAUUUGAUGUGGUAAGAGGGACUUCCUGGCUGGCAUUUCCUGUGUGACCGACCCAUGGGGAGUGGUGGGAGACAUGGCCAUGUGAGAGGAACAACCUGAGUACAGUGGUCAGAAUGGAUUUCUGUGUUGGCAAGCAUAUUUUGGAAGGAAGAGAAGUGCUAUUACCUUAUCAGCAAAUCAUUCCCACAGGCAUUUUAUUCACCUGCUGCAGAAGACAAAGUGAGCUAUGGGGAAAGCUGCUGAGGUGGUGGUGAACCAAAGCUGAGAGCUUCAUACAGUGAGUGUGUUCUGUCUGGCAUCUGCAUCAUGUUUGGUGCAGUUGUAGGACCCUUUGAAACCCAGCAUCUUAUUUUUCUGACACUUGGAAAAAAUAGAUCCUGAAGGAGGGACAACAAGCAAACUGAAUCAAAACAUACUUUCCCAAAAUACGCAUAAAUUUUCUCUUCCAGUAAGAAAAUACCCAAAGGACGUUGGAUCUCAGCAAUGAAUCCAAGUCUUAAGAAGCAGGAUGCAUAAAACAAACAAGGCUGCCAAGGUCAGCCACAUGCUUCUGGUGCCUUCAUCCUUGGAGGAAAUUCUGGGGCCACCAGGAAAUUCCAUGUUCCCGUGACAUUUCAGAAACAUAUCAGAAGGAGGGGAGCAAGGACCUUUGCCCUUGGUCUUGCUUGGAUGGACGAGUGCCACCAGUCUGCUGUCUCCGGAGCUGAACAGGCAAAUUUAGUAUUUAUGCUAAACUACCAGCAGUUUGGAUAAGCAGCAUGUUCCCUGGCAGUGAGCUGAAGAUACACCACUGGUGCUACAUGCCUUGUCCUGGUUGCUCUUGCAAUUACUCUUCUGAAAGGGGUUGAAGUGCAACACUUCUCAGUGGGAGAUCCUGGACUGGCAAGAUGCAUUAGCUUGGUGAAGCUGGGACCACAAGCAGUGCUUCCUCCUUCCCUCCUCCUCCCUGACUUCACUAAAACCAGCCUUUCAACCCUUGAGGAGAGGUUUGGGUUAGCAGCACUCUCCUUCUCCUCUCCUGCUGGCUGAUCUUGUGCUGUUGUGGCCACGUGGCUCCACUUCAUGGCUUGGAGUGUCAGAAGUGACUUCUUUGGGGGUCCUCCCUGAACUCAUGUUACUGGUGGACAACAAAUUGAUGUUCACCAACUAGAUCUUGGAUUUUGGACUAAACUUGAAUGGUUUAUCUCAAGUUUUAAUCAAGCUCUGAUUUGUUCCUACAAACUCUCACUUCUAGAUUUC